GUCGUAACAAGGUUUCCGUAGGUGAACCUGCGGAAGGAUCAUUAUCGAAUCCGCGAGCGAGGGUUGCUGCUGGUCUCCCUCGGGGGGCAACGUGCACGCCCGAGCUCACGACAAACCCCCCAUGGGCCUUCGGGCCCGUGGACAUCACACCCCGUCUUAUACAGAAUGUCUUUUUAGUACAUCGCCCUGAAAAAGUGACGGAACCUUAUACAACUUUCAACAACGGAUCUCUUGGCUCUCGCAUCGAUGAAGAACGCAGCGAAAUGCGAUAAGUAAUGUGAAUUGCAGAUUUUCAGUGAAUCAUCGAAUCUUUGAACGCACCUUGCGCCCCUCGGUAUUCCGAGGGGCAUGCCUGUUUGAGUGUCAUUAAACCUUCAACCCCACCGGCCUUGUCGCGUGGGGCUUGGACUUGGGGCGUGCUGGCGAUUUACGUCGGCUCCCCUUUAAAUGCAUCAGUGAAGAGGGUGCUCGACCAUUUUCCUUUCUCCGGAAGGUGANGGCCCGUUCGGUGUGAUAAUCCUGUUGCGCCGUCGGACUGGGGUCGAGUUCCGCUUUGCUUCCAACGGUCCCUCGUGGNCGACGCCAUUCGAAUUUGACCUCAAAUCAGGUAGGACUACCCGCUGAACUUAAGCAUAUCAAUAAGCGGAGGAAAAGAAACUAACAAGGAUUCCCCUAGUAACUGCGAGUGAAGCGGGAAGAGCUCAAAUUUAAAAUCUGGCGGUCGCCCGGCCGUCCGAGUUGUAAUCUGGAGAAGCGUUUUCCGCGUCGGACCGUGUACAAGUCNUCUGGAAUGGAGCGUCGUAGAGGGUGAGAAUCCCGUCUCUGACACGGACCGCCGACGCUUAUGUGAUACGCUCUCGAAGAGUCGAGUUGUUUGGGAAUGCAGCUCAAAAUGGGUGGUAAAUUCCAUCUAAAGCUAAAUACUGGCGAGAGACCGAUAGCGAACAAGUACCGUGAGGGAAAGAUGAAAAGCACUUUGGAAAGAGAGUUAAACAGUACGUGAAAUUGUUGAAAGGGAAACGUUUGAAGUCAGUCGCGUUGGCCGGGACUCAACCUUGCCGUCAUCGGCUCGGCGCACUUCUCGGUCGACGGGUCAGCAUCAAUUUCGAUCGUCGGAUAAAGGCAAAGGGAAUGUGGCACCCUCCGGGGUGUGUUAUAGCCCUUGGUUCGCAUACGACGGUCGGGAUUGAGGAACUCGGCGCGCCCUCACGGGUCGGGGCUUCGGCCCACGUUAACGCGUCUAGGAUGCUGGCAUAAUGGCUUUAAGCGACC
rnacentral:rRNA from 1 species